GAGCUCAGCCUGUAGAGCAUGAGACCCUUAAUCUUGGGGUCAUGGGUUCGAAACCCACAAAGUCCU